AGAACGAACGCUGGCGGCAUGCCUAACACAUGCAAGUCGAACGCUCUUGGGAUUUCGGUCUCAAGGGAGUGGCGCACGGGUGAGUAGCGCGUGGGAACCUGCCCUGUUGUGGGGGAUAACCGAGGGAAACUUCGGCUAAUACCGCAUACGCCCCGGAGCAAUCCGGGGGAAAGAUUUAUCGCAGCAGGAGGGGCCCGCGUCGGAUUAGGUAGUUGGUGGGGUAACGGCCCACCAAGCCUGUGAUCCGUAGCUGGUCUGAGAGGAUGAUCAGCCACACUGGGACUGAGACACGGCCCAGACUCCUACGGGAGGCAGCAGUGGGGAAUAUUGGACAAUGGGCGCAAGCCUGAUCCAGCAAUGCCGCGUGAGUGAUGAAGGCCUUAGGGUUGUAAAGCUCUUUCGCCCGCGACGAUGAUGACGGUAGCGGGAGAAGAAGCCCCGGCUAACUUCGUGCCAGCAGCCGC
rnacentral:rRNA from 1 species